rnacentral:snRNA from 1 species
GGAUGUGGGGGCUAUCUGGCUGUAACAUUUGUCACUCCAUUGAUCACCAGCGUUGAUUUGGCUGAUCUGGCUGGUUAGGCGGGUGUCCUCUUCCUCUCUCACCGCUUCAUAUGCGUCCCUCCUGAAGCUGCGUGCUUGGUGGAAGAGGAUGACAUCCCAGGUAUAGAAGGAGUGUACCAAGGUCUCCAGUCUUUGGUCCUGGGCAUACAGUAGCUGUGCUGUCCUGCUAGAACAAGCUCAAGGAAAUGUAUGUCAUGGCGAAAGACCAUGCGGUUCCAGAAUAGGUCUCU